rnacentral:lncRNA from 1 species
GUUGAUACAAAGUCUCACUGGCAACUGGUCUUAGGCCAGGCUGGCCUGGAACUCAAGAAGAUCCAUCCUUGCCUCUGCCCGGCAGAAUGCUGGGAUUAAAGGUGUGAGCUACCAUACCUGGUUUAGAUCAGUGGCUUUUGUCAGAGACUUCAAGAGCUUAAGUGUCUACUCCGCAAACAGGAUGGCUUUCCUGGUUGUGAGCAUCUGUGCUGUGUGCAACUACAGAAGAGGACAAUGGAGACAAAAACGGGGGCCAUACUAUUCUUGAUUCUUCAUCUAGAGUGUCAGCUCUAUCCCGAGGCUGGCUUCUCUCUCAUGGUAGCAAAAUGACCCCACAGUGCCAUACCUAUUGGCAAAAUGUUGGCUCUGGUGAUGUUUCUUGGCUGCAUAUGAAUAAAAGCUCCUCCCUAGCAGAACUCUUGGGUAAUGUGUAAGAAUCACCCAGAUAGACUGGUUUUGAAGGCAUGAAGAGGUCAUGGAGAGCAGCUGAGGCUUGGCAUUAUGAGAGAGAGGUCAGGGAAGGACGUUAGUGAAGGUGUAGCCUCCAUUGCAGUUGACAGCCCAGGACUGAAGGGGUCAUACAAAGAAGUUAAGGACUUGGCACCAUGAGGAGAGCCUAUGAGAGGCUAUUGAUGAAGCCUAGUUGUAGACGACCCCACAUAUUGGAGAUGCCAGUACCAUGGGAUGACCCCCAAGAAGAGCAGCAACAGUGGAGUGGAGUCAACCAGAGCCUAGAGUGCUACAGAGGGCAGAGCUGGAGAAGUGACCCAAGGCCUUUGGAGGAGCCCAGCAGAUCACACAUGAUGUUUGGUUCUCAGACAUAGGAGUAAGAAGCUCUAAAGUUGAAGUGGCCUUGGAUACCCCGAGAUAUUAGAAAUGUCAGAGCUAUGGGAUACCUGCCUAGGAAAGCUGCUAAUAGGGAGUGAAACCAGCCAAAGAGAAGGUAUGGUGUCGUCAGCCAAGUUGAACGGCUUUGGAGAUCUGAAGAGUGCUUUGAUCACAUACAUGGAGAUGCAGAGUUUGGAGUUUGCCCAGCAGUUUUUCUGUCUUGCUUUGGUCCAAUAUUUCCUUACCAUGACAUUUUGGAAUGCUAAUGUAUACCAUGGAUGAUGUUGGGGGUAUGUGAUCUGCUUUUUGAUUUUGAUUUCUUAGGGGAUUAUAGUUAAGAAAUUGCAUGAUCUCAGAAGAGACUUUGAACUUUGGAUUUUUAACAUUAUUGAGACUGUUAUAGACUAUGGGACUUUUUUGCUGUUGUUGUUGUUGUUGUUGUUUUUGUUUUUCGAGACAGGGUUUCUCUGUAUAGCCCUGGCUGUCCUGGAACUCACUCUGUAGACCAGGCUGGCCUCAAACUCAGAAAUCUGCCUGCCUCUGUCUCCCAAGUGCUGGGAUUAAAGGUGUGUGCCACCACGGUUGGCACUAUGGGACUUUUGAAGUUUGGACUAACUGUAUUUUGCAAUGUGCUAUGCAGAGGUAUGGGUCCCAUAGACUGUUUUGUGUUUGAACAAGCCUAUGAGGGCCAGGGAGUGAAAUGUGAUGGUUUGAAUAUGCUUGGUCCAGGGAGUGACACUCUUAGGAAGUAUGGCCUUGUUGGGGUAGAUGUGGCCCUGUUGGAGGACAUGUGUCACUCUGGGCGUGUGCUUUAGCCAGUCUUCAGUUUGCCUUUGGAAUAAGAUGUAGAAAUCUCAGCUGUUUCAGCACCAUGUCUGCCUGCAUCCUGCCAUGCUUCUUGCCAUGAUGAUAAUGGACUGAACCUCAGAACCUGUAAGCCUGCCCCAAUUAAAUGCUGUCCUUAAAGUUGCCUUG